rnacentral:rRNA from 1 species
UACAGAGGGUGCAAGCGUUAAUCGGAAUUACUGGGCGUAAAGCGUGCGUAGACGGUUAUUUAAGUCAGGUGUGAAAGCCCCGGGCUCAACCUGGGAAUUGCAUUUGAGACUGAAUAGCUAGGGUGCGGAAGAGGGAAGCGGAAUUUCCGGUGUAGCGGUGAAAUGCGUAGAUAUCGGAAGGAACACCAGUGGCGAAAGCGGCUUCCUGGUCCAGCACCGACGUUCAGGCACGAAAGCAUGGGGAGCGAACAGG